GCUUGAGUAGCUCAGACGGUCAGAGCGUUGUUAACCGCAAGGUCGGAGGUUCGACCCCUCCCUCAAGCG
rnacentral:tRNA from 1 species